GUGGGGAAUAUUGGACAAUGGGCGCAAGCCUGAUCCAGCAAUGCCGCGUGUGUGAAGAAGGUCUUCGGAUCGUAAAGCACUUUCGACGGGGACGAUGAUGACGGUACCCGUAGAAGAAGCCCCGGCUAACUUCGUGCCAGCAGCCGCGGUAAUACGAAGGGGGCUAGCGUUGCUCGGAAUUACUGGGCGUAAAGGGCGCGUAGGCGGCUCUGUGAGUCAGGCGGGAAAUUCCUGGGCUUAACCUGGGGACUGCGCUUGAUACUGCAGGGCUUGAGGCCGAGAGAGGGUGGUGGAAUUCCCAGUGUAGAGGUGAAAUUCGUAGAUAUUGGGAAGAACACCGGUGGCGAAGGCGACCACCUGGCUCGGUACUGACGCUGAGGCGCGACAGCGUGGGGAGCAAACAGGAUUAGAUACCCGGGUAGUCC
rnacentral:rRNA from 1 species